ensembl:misc_RNA Metazoa_SRP Metazoan signal recognition particle RNA
GCCAGGCAUGAUGGCUCAUGCCUGUAAUCCCAGCACUUUGGGAGGCCGAGGCAGGGGUAUCACCUGAGGUCAGGAAUUCAAGACCAGCCUGGCCAACACGGUGAAACCCCGUCUCUA